GAUGAAGAACGUAGCGAAAUGCGAUAAGUAAUGUGAAUUGCAGAAUUCGGUGAAUCAUCGAAUCUUUGAACGCACAUUGCGCCCCUUGGUAUUCCGAGGGGCAUGCCUGUUCGAGCGUCAUUAUAACCCCUCAAGCUCAGCUUGGUGUUGGGGCCUGCUGCACUGGCAGCCCUUAAAAUCAGUGGCGGCGCCAUCUGGCUCUAAGCGUAGUAAUUCUUCUCGCUAUGGAGUCCUGGUGGAUGCUUGCCAUCAACCCCCAAUUUUUCUAUGGUUGACCUCGGAUCAGGUAGGGAUACCCGCUGAACUUAAGCAUAUCAAUAAGCGGAGGA
rnacentral:misc_RNA from 1 species